GAUGAAGAACGUAGCGAACGUGCGAAACGUAAUGUGAAUUGCAGAAUUCAGUGAAUCAUCGAAUCUUUGAACGCAUCUUGCGCUCCUUGGUAUUCCGAGGAGCAUGCCUGUUUGAGUGUCGUGAAUACUCUCAACUUCAACCCUUUUUUCGGAAAGGGAGGAAGGUUGGACUUGGGUGUUUGUUGAAGUGCGAGCUUCGACUCAUCCUAAAUGCAUUAGCGAUCUGCCUCGAUCACACACAAUGUGAUAAUUAAAACUAAAGCAUUGUUUAAUGAUCAAGUUGAGACUGCUUCUAACUGUCGCAAGACAAUAACGUGCAUACAUUUGUGCAUGUCAUUUGACCUCAAAUCAGGUAGGACUACCCGCUGAACUUAAGCAUAUCAAUAAGCGGAGGA
rnacentral:misc_RNA from 1 species